rnacentral:rRNA from 1 species
AGAGACAGCAGCCGCCGCGGUAAUACAGAGGGUGCGAGCGUUAAUCGGAUUUACUGGGCGUAAAGCGUGCGUAGGCGGCUUCUUAAGUCGGAUGUGAAAUCCCUGAGCUUAACUUAGGAAUUGCAUUCGAUACUGGGAAGCUAGAGUAUGGGAGAGGAUGGUAGAAUUCCAGGUGUAGCGGUGAAAUGCGUAGAGAUCUGGAGGAAUACCGAUGGCGAAGGCAGCCAUCUGGCCUAAUACUGACGCUGAGGUACGAAAGCAUGGGGAGCAAACAGGAUUAGAUACCCGAGUAGUCCCUGUCUCUUAUAC